GGCUCUGCAGUCCAGAGUUUAUCCAUCCAGAGAGAGCACCAGCUACAUUUCCACAUCAUCAGCUGGAACCUCAGCAACCCGGAGCCCACAUCCUCGGAGUACACCGCCCUGCUGAGGGACACCCAGGACCAGGUUGGUCCCCCAUGGUAACCACACUGCAGUGGACUCACUGUGUACCCAGCCGCCUUCGCACAGAGACUGGACAGAGUUGCCAUCUAUGAGGAAUUCCUGCGGCUGACCAGAAUGGUACCCAGCUGCAGAACUUUAACCUGGACGGAAAGAAUGCCCUUGGGGAUGAAUAUUCUCCCAACAGAGAUGACACCUUGACUGAGAAGCCUGGUAAACCUGCAGGAAGCCCCAGCCCACGGUAGGGGGCGAGUAUCUUGAUGCUGUGCCUCAUCGAAGAGAACCACGUGCACAGGGUCUUGGAUGAUGAGGAAAGAUGGCCAACCCUUGUCAAGGAUGGUUGAGGCACAGUGGGGUCAGCAGGAGCCCUGGGGCAAUGACAGGAGGUGGCU